rnacentral:rRNA from 1 species
GACGAACGCUGGCGGCGUGCUUAACACAUGCAAGUCGAACGGAAAGGCCCUGCUUUUGUGGUGUGCUCGAGUGGCGAACGGGUGAGUAACACGUGAGUAACCUGCCCUUGACUUUGGGAUAACUUCAGGAAACUGGGGCUAAUACCGGAUAGGAGCUCCUGCUGCAUGGUGGGGGUUGGAAAGUUUCGGCGGUUGGGGAUGGACUCGCGGCUUAUCAGCUUGUUGGUGGGGUAGUGGCUUACCAAGGCUUUGACGGGUAGCCGGCCUGAGAGGGUGACCGGCCACAUUGGGACUGAGAUACGGCCCAGACUCCUACGGGAGGCAGCAGUGGGGAAUAUUGCACAAUGGGCGGAAGCCUGAUGCAGCAACGCCGCGUGCGGGAUGACGGCCUUCGGGUUGUAAACCGCUUUCGCCUGUGACGAAGCGUGAGUGACGGUACUGGGUAAAGAAGCACCGGCUAACUACGUG